GAGUUUGAUCGUGGCUCAGAUUGAACGCUGGCGGUAUGCUUAACACAUGCAAGUCGAACGGUAACAGGCUAGCUUGCUAGCGCUGACGAGUGGCGGACGGGUGCGUAACGCGUAGGAAUCUGCCUAUUAGUGGGGGACAACCUGGUGAAAACCAGGCUAAUACCGCAUACGCCCUACGGGGGAAAGCAGGGGAUCUUCGGACCUUGCGCUAAUAGAUGAGCCUGCGUUAGAUUAGCUUGUUGGUGAGGUAAUGGCUCACCAAGGCGACGAUCUAUAGCUGGUCUGAGAGGACGAUCAGCCACACUGGGACUGAGACACGGCCCAGACUCCUACGGGAGACAGCAGUGGGGAAUAUUGGACAAUGGGCGGAAGCCUGAUCCAGCAAUACCGCGUGUGUGAAGAAGGCCUGAGGGUUGUAAAGCACUUUCAAUUGGGAGGAAACAGGCAGGUUAAUAUCCUGUCUC
rnacentral:rRNA from 1 species